CUCCUGACUGACCGAUAGUGAACCAGUACCGUGAGGGAAAGGCGAAAAGAACCCCUGUGAGGGGAGUGAAAUAGAUCCUGAAACCGCAUGCAUACAAGCAGUGGGAGCACCUUCGUGGUGUGACUGCGUACCUUUUGUAUAAUGGGUCAGCGACUUAUAUUCAGUAGCAAGGUUAACCGUAUAGGGGAGCCGUAGAGAAAUCGAGUCUUAAUAGGGCGUUUAGUUGCUGGGUAUAGACCCGAAACCAGGCGAUCUAUCCAUGAGCAGGUUGAAGGUUGGGUAACACUAACUGGAGGACCGAACCCACUGUCGUUGAAAAGCCAGGGGAUGACUUGUGGAUAGGGGUGAAAGGCUAAUCAAGCCUGGUGAUAGCUGGUUCUCCCCGAAAGCUAUUUAGGUAGCGCCUCGGACGAAUACCAUAGGGGGUAGAGCACUGUUUCGGCUAGGGGGUCAUCCCGACUUACCAAACCGAUGCAAACUCCGAAUACCUAUGAGUACUAUCCGGGAGACAGACUGCGGGUGCUAACGUCCGUAGUCAAGAGGAAAACAAUCCAGACCGCCAGCUAAGGCCCCAAAAUCAUAGUUAAGUGGGAAACGAUGUGGGAAGGCAUAGACAGCUAGGAGGUUGGCUUAGAAGCAGCCACCCUUUAAAGAAAGCGUAAUAGCUCACUAGUCGAGUCGGCCUGCGCGGAAGAUGUAACGGGGCUAAAA
rnacentral:rRNA from 1 species